GUGUAUGUGUGUUCUUGUUUAUAUGGUAUAGGGGGACAUUUGACCUGAAAUCUCACCAGCACUAUGAGGACAUUUUGGUUUAUGAGGACAUUUUCAAUGUCCCCAUAAGUCGGGCACUGUAGAAGUACUUAUUUCAUUGUUAUUAACUAUGUCCUGCUUUUUUAACUCAUGUCCUAAUAUACCAUAAAGACCUGGUUUUGUUGUGUAUCACACACAGCCCAUACUCCCCCUAUGUCUGGUUGUUGGUAGUGCAGCUUGAUACGAUUUUUUUUCAUUGGCUCAUGGGUUGUAUGCAUGUCUGAUCACCGAUUGGCUACUGCUUCUGUCAAUAACGGGGACGAUCGUUGAUUCGCGGUUGCGGCUGUGAGUCACCGCAUUCUGGCGGCAAACUAUCAACUUUCUAUGUCGCGAGCCUAUAGCUAGUGAAACCCCGCCAAGUUAUGCUGAAGUUUAUUUUACCUCAGAAGACAUCACCUGAAAGAAACCGCGACGCGAAGAGGACUUUUCUAAUGGUUAUCUUCACUACUAAAUAGGUAAGUAAUUUUUCUAUUCACACAAUUGAUCAAAUGUAUUAUUUAGUUUACAAUUUUAUAGCUAAAAUAUAUAAAAUGUGCAGUUUAAACACAAACGUGAACAGGGUAGAGUAAUGACUGCUAUAGUACUUGUAGCUUGGUAAUUAUGUACUGUACUUCUCCUGUUCUGUUGUUCAAGCAGGCUAAUGGGUUAAUACUACUGAGAUUAAACUUGCGUUGAUGUUAUUGUUGGAGUGUCUCGCAGUUUUAUAGUCAGUCCUGAGUGUUUUUGUAGUCUGGCUAAUUUUUUUUUUUUUUGCAUGUGCUUAAAACAUUUGUUAAUAUCGUAUUUCUGUCCGAAACGUGAGUUAAUUGUUGUCGUCUGCUUGUUAGCGGUAAGUUAAGUAAUUGUUUCAAGCUAACGUUAGCGAAUGUAAUGAUGGACAUUCAAUGGGCUCUGAAGUGCCAGCAGUUUCUUCUCUCAAAAUGAUUUCGCUUUUAGUGUUGUUUAGAAACUGUAUAAAAAGCCAAUACAUGGCUUUGUGUUUGGCCGUGUUUGAGGAAUGACAAGUGUUCCUCUUGUCAUGAUCUGAUAAUUUGACUGAUGUAUCCCUCAUUCACCCAAAUAGGUGAGUAAUAGUAAUAUAAUAUGAAUAUAGUGUAUUGUCAAAACACUUGGCCGAUGUAUUUUGUAAUUUUAUUUAGGCAUAGUGGCUGGGUAAGUUUGACUCUGUGUUAAAUAGUGAAGGCCUUUUUAACACAUGUUAAAAAGGCAUUCAGGCGUUGUUGCUCAACUGCGGGGGUCCUGUGCGGUCUAAUAGUAAGAACAAGGGGAACGAGUGGCAAGUACAUUGAUAGGUCUACCUGUUGUGGCUGAGUAGCCCCAUACUAAAGCCACAAUUGAUAUUGAGUUGGAGAACUGUCUUUCAUCACUCAUAGUUCACUAUUACAGUUGGGUUCAAAUAACCCUGUAUGUUGGGUUGUGAUGUAAACGCAGCACAUUUGGUCAGAUGAUUGACUUGGUAUUUCAUAAGUGAAGAAAUAUUUAGACUUUGUAUUUCACAAGUGAAGAAAUAUUUAUACGGUUAGUAACUGAAUGUGGCUGCAUAUACAUGGGGUUGGAAUGACAACAACCAGGACAGUUGCUCUGGAGCUGAUUUAGAGACCCUUGUUAAGGUAUGUUAUGCAAUACAUAAGGUCUUUCACUUGUUUUGUGUUUUCACAAGCUUGUGCAGUUUUUGUUUGAAAGAAAUGCUAAUAGUUUCAUGAAUUUGUGAACAUCGGGUGCUCUCAAUGUCAGUACAUCAUGAGGGUUUAUCUUUUUGCUCGCUUUAAAUCUUGCAAUUUUUGUUUUAUACUAUUGUCUGAAAUUUAGAAAAAUAAAAGGUGUAACAUUUUUGUGAUGCCUGUCUCAUGACACAUUGCAUUAAAAUAUGACUAGUUUAUAUACUAGACCAGUUUCACACUUCUAGUGAUUACUAGUUUGGACUAUGAUUAGCUAAGUAAUGUUUUCUAUCUGGGCAGUAAGUUUGAGGUCCCAGGUCAACAUAUUGUUAAAAUUGUUUUGAAUUUGAAAGCUGGUGAUCAGAAGUAGAGAAAAAGAGAUGAACCUACCAUGGGAGACAUCAGAUCUUGGCAUUACUAAGGAUGAAAAUGUUACAUUUAAUGCUUCAAUUAGACUAGAAUUAAGUAAUUUCCAUUUAAUCUCCACAUUUCCCUUUCAAAUGGUUAUGUAUAUAGUAAAAAUAAUUUACUUUGUUUUGUUAAGAAAGGUAUUAUGAUUUUGAGGCUAAAAACUAUUAUGCAUCCAGUACAGUGUAGCGCAUGAGUUUAACAUGAUAUAAAUAAGCUAUAAAUCUAUUAUGAGAUUUGCUGUUUAAAGAGGAUAUUUUGUAUCCUUUUUUGCUUGUAUGAUACUGCUAGGAAUGUGAACUUAAGACAGAUUUACAUAGUUGAAUAUGUCUGAAUGCCUAUAAAUACGUCUAUAAGUCUGAAUGUCGGGGUUCUAAUAUAUUUAAUGCAGUGUAAGUUUAUGGACCUUAAGUUAACUAUUGCAAUCCCAAAGUAUUUGUGUUUAUGCAGGCAUUUCAGCAAAAGGAAAUAAAAUAAUACAUUUGAUACGUACAUUAAUAUAUUGUAGUAAUAGCAACUAUUAAAUUAAAUGUGGGAUAACUUAAGGAAGACUUACAUUAUCAUAACCCUUGACAAACAUUAGGUGAUCUAUCCAUGACACUGCAAUAUUGGUGAAUAGGUCUUUAAUAUCAGCGCUCGACAACAGAAAGCAUUGUUGUGGUAAUGAUCAUUUGCCUAUGGGUGUUAUUUUGAGGCACUGUUCAGGCAUUAAGUGACUUUGAAAGUCAUAUCAGUAGCUUCCCUAGGCCUGUUAAAUGCAUUAUCCACCCCUCAUAACGCAGCAAGUACAAUAACAUAUACGCGAGCAGAUUGGUGCUUUGCAUUAUGCAAUUAUGCAGCUAACCAGCAUCAUACAGUGACUAUGGUUAAAAUAUUUAGCGUCUACGUAUUCAUCUUUUUGGAGGUUAAUCCCGUUGAUUGAUAACAUGAAUACGUUUAUUCAAUAUGAAAUUAGGGCUCUCACGAUUCAAGUAACUCUGAUAAACCCAACUUGCAUUUUGCGGCAGCACGUCAUCAAUUCUGCAAGAUUAGAAUAGGAGGCAUGCAUACACUGAGGCACAGAAUUCUGACAGGAUCUUUUUACUUGAGCCAUACGAGUUUGCAACAUCUUCCGGUCAGAAUGGAGAGUGCUGUAACGUUAGCAAUUCUGGCUGACUGUCUAGUAUGGUGUGUUUUUUAUUUUUUUUUAUUUGUUAGCCAUGUGAGGUUGGGUAUUUUGUAAAUGUAGUUUAAACGGUGGCAGCCUAAGCAUUGUAUGUGAUGUUGAUUGGUCAUAUCUCUAAUAUUCUCUUGUUUAUAUGUUUUGAAUGUAUAUGUUUUUGAAUCCAUAAUUAAUGGUAGCAUUUGCUUUUCAUUGAUUAGGAACAUAUAAACAACAAUGAGCCUCAAAGAAAGGAGAGGAGGAAGGGGCAGAAAUCCUGAACAAGAUGCACUAUAUUAUAUUUCCAAUUCACUGGACAAAGUUGGUUUUCUAAAGAAGUUCAUUAACCCCUUCAAAGGUCAUGGAGUAUUCAGCAAUAGCUACUUUGGAAAAGGAGACUUCCUGCUGGAAUACAGAGGGGACUUUAUUACAUUUGAUGAGAGCAAAAGAAGAAGAAUACAAUACAGUGAUGCCCUUAAUGUUUUCAUGUUUGACCUAAGUUUCAAUGGGAAACUGUGGUGUAUUGAUGCAGCAAACACUGAAUCACUUGCCAGAUUUGUCAACGAUGACCAUAUCAAUCCGAACAGCAAAAUGAAAAGGCUAACAGUUGGAGGGAAGCCCCAUCUCUGUUUAUUUGCAACGUCCGACAUAAAACCUGGAGAGGAAAUUUCCUAUGAUUAUGGUGACUCGGACUGGCCGUGGCGAAAUAAGCAAAUCCAUGUCCAAGAAAUGUCCGUUACUACAGAGACCGAGAACACUGAAGAG